rnacentral:tRNA from 1 species
GUAUAUAUAAUUUAAUUAAAAUAUUAGGCCGUGACCCUAAAAAUGAAAGUUUAACCCUUUCUGUAAACC